rnacentral:tRNA from 1 species
AUUUAAAUAAUUUAUUAAAAUUUUGAUUUGUGGAAUCAACUUUGUAAUUUUAUGUUACUUUAAAUA